CAAUAGCGUAUAUUAAAGUUGUUGCAGUUAAAAAGCUCGUAGUUGGAUUUCUGGCAGGAGCGACCGGUCACACACUCUGUGUGUGAACUUGCGUUGUCUCUGGCCAUCCUUGGGAAGAUCCUGUUUGGCAUUAAGUUGUCGGGCAGGGGAUACCCAUCGUUUACUGUGAAAAAAUUAGAGUGUUUAAAGCAGGCUUAUGCCGUUGAAUAUAUUAGCAUGGAAUAAUAAGAUAGGACUUCGGAACUAUUUUGUUGGUUUGCGUUACGAAGUAAUGAUUAAUAGGGACAGUUGGGGUAUUCGUAUUUCGUUGUCAGAGGUGAAAUUCUUGGAUUUCCGAAAGACGAACUACUGCGGAAGCAUUUACCAAGGAUGUUUUCAUUAA
rnacentral:rRNA from 1 species